CGACACUGGUGAUCCAGAGUCUUUUCUCUUUCCAGCUGUUGCUGUAAUCCAUUUUUAUGAGAAAAUGUGCUCCAGCUGUGUCUUAUAAAGUAGGUAACUGAGACCAAUUUUGAUGUUUGUUUAUUUUUAUACCAACUGACAGUGAGUUUUAGACUUUGUGGAUGUGCCCUGACACUUAAAAAAACAUUGACAUAAGUUUAUGAGAAAAAAAUCUGUAAUGUUACAAGCAUUCAGUAGCCUAAUAUACUAACAAAUGCAUUGGAAGUAAAUGCAUUAAAUUUCAACAUAUACUUGGAGGGAGUUUGCUUUUUGCAAAGCAUUACAAAAUAAUUGUUUAAUUGUUUAGAAAAUCUGUGCAACAGAAGUAAAAAAAAUAAUAAUAAAAAACUAGUUCAAGGACAUUGGAGAGCAUAGAGCUGAGCUGAGACUGUUGAUAAAUGCAGAGGACAGUGGUGCCUAAAAGGAAAAUGUGAGAAAAUCAGAUUAAAUUAGAAUGUCCUUUCUCCAUGUCCUAAUUUCGAAACAGUAUCAAACAUCAUUGCAUUUAAAAUUCAUAAUCACCUGAUCUGAGCUCUUUCAUUUACCCAGCAAUGAUGAGUUUAACAAACGCUGUGGGAGAAAAGGAUAAAAGGACAAGAUUAAAUGAUAGAAUAAUACAUAGAAUAUAUUAGCUUUAACUUUUCAAAUUUGGAAAAUGGUUACUCCUUCAUAGCUGACUCAGCCGUUUCCAUCUUCCUGUCCUGCCAUCAGCUGUUCUACCUCUGAUUCUGUCAUUUUCUCACCUGCAGGUACAACGUGAUACUCCGUGCUUGUUUCUGGCAGCGUUAAUCACAAGGACCAGAGGGAAUUACAGUGAGACCUCAUCCUUAUUUUCCACAUGAGAGAGAGACUCACUCAGACAACAAACAGGAAUGUUAAAGUGUAAUAUGGGAGCUUGCAGACACCUGCGUGGAACCUCGUAUGACCACAUGGAAGCUCUUUUAUACUGACCUCAGGUGAGCUUCAAGACCCCAUCACUGACCAUCAAGUUAGUUAAAGUUGCAUAUGUGGUCUCAAAUCAAUAUGAAGAAACAUUUAUGUCUUCACAUACAGUAGGUACUCAACUGAGAAUGGGGUUUUAAAGCCUAAAGUUUGUGUGAAACAUUUUAACCUUAUUUGAUUUGAUUUGAUUUGAUUGAUUUGAGC
rnacentral:lncRNA from 12 species